UUCGCAAUGCCCGAAAGGGUGACGAAGCGACGCCGCGUGCGGGAAGAAGGCCUUCGGGUUGUAAACCGCUGUCGGGAGUUAGGAAAUGCAAGGAUGUUAAUAGCGUCUUUGCUUGACUAAGGCUCCGGAGGAAGCCACGGCUAACUCUGUGCCAGCAGCCGCGGUAAUACAGAGGCGGCAAGCGUUGUUCGGAAUUAUUGGGCGUAAAGAGCACGUAGGCGGCCGUGUAAGUCGGUUGUGAAAGCCUUCCGCUCAACGGGAGAACGGCAUCCGAUACUGCAUGGCUCGAGUGCGGGAGGGGAGAGUGGAACUUCUGGUGGAGCGGUGAAAUGCGUAGAUAUCAGAAGGAACGCCGGCGGCGAAAGCGGCUCUCUGGCCCAUAACUGACGCUGAGUGUGCGAAAGCUAGGGGAGCAAACGGGAUUAGAUACCCCGGUAGUCCUAGCCGUAAACGAUGGGCACUAAGUAGAGGGGUUUU
rnacentral:rRNA from 2 species